rnacentral:tRNA from 1 species
UUUAGUUUAGUUUAAAAUAAAACAAAAGCUUGUCAAGCUUUAAACACAAAAUAUAGACAAUAUUGUAACUAAAU